AAGAACUUAAGUUAAAAAAACUAAUAACCUUCAAAGUUAUAAAUAAAAAAAGAAUUUUUUAGGACUUA
rnacentral:tRNA from 1 species